rnacentral:lncRNA from 1 species
CCUUAAAGGUGUGUCUCCAGUUGACUCUCCAUGACAUGAAUCUGCACUUUGAAGCCACAGAGUGGAGGACAGGUGAGAUGAUGCAGCAUUUUCCUGUAAGCUUGUGCAGAGGUAUGUACAUGUUCAUUGCCUCUUCAGUCUUCAAUUCAUUUACAAACACAUCCACAUCAUUAAUUUCCAUUUCAUGCCAAGUAUGGUCAAAUCAUAAAGAGAAUAUAUUAUUUUUCUUAAUGCAUUCAUCUGAAAUCCCACAGGUCGCCUUGUUAAAACUAAAUCUGACUUCAUCCAUCCUUUCCAUCCUCCCCUCCCUCUCUUGUUCCUUCUGAAUGUGGAGGACAAACGCGUCACGGCGCUCAUAAGCCUUUUUAAUCAGCGUGAGAGAUUGGCCACAUAUCUGUUAACUCUGUCACUAAUGGCUAUUCUUCCUCAUUAGGGAAUGCUAUCGGUCCUCUCCCUCUGCCACGUACAGGCAUGAUCAAUUUCUAUCAUUUAGGACCAGAUCAAUCUCGUAGCCCCUUUUCCUUUUUAAACCUCAAUAUCUCCUCCUUCCAUCAUGAUGCAUUACAGAGUCUAAUUAGUCACAUAGCCUGGGGAGUAGAUGUGGAGCAGAGGAGCAGGUCUGUACAUCCAAGGUGGGCUCUUGAGGUAGAGAUAAGUCUUCAUUAAAGGAGCAUAUACAAACUGAAGCAAAAGGGCAGAGUGAAAGAAAGUUACUCUCUGAAAAGUUAAUCAUAUCCUUGAAUGCUCUGAGUUUGUACAACGUAGGGUGAUAGCAGUUGUUUUCUAGCCCAGUUUAACUGCUCCAGGUGUUUUUGUAUAAUAUGACUGAAUGCAUUUUAGAGACCUCGGAAAACACGAUAAUUGUGUGCUUGCAAUCAUGAUUUGACGCACUUCUCCAAAAAAAACGUUUUUCCAUUUGCAUUUCUUUUCAGUACAAAUAAAUAGAUCUGCUGCUACCACAAAUGAAAAAUAACCUUAUCUUGAGAAGAUAUAUGUACAGAAUUUAAGGAGGGGUUGUAUGAGGUACUUAUCAAUACGUGUAUUACUUAAAGGGAUGUUAAUCACCUUAACCUUUGUGUAGAAAAACCAGCUGGAGAACCGAGGGGGAACUAGUCCACCAUGACACUGUCUUUAGGCAACCAGUUACAACAUCUAUCUAACUUGAUACAAGCUUUCCUUUAAUAUAUGAUCCUUCUCCAACCACUCAUGCUUCAUAUAGUGGAGAUCCAUUUUUUUUCAGUAAAAACCUGCACAGGAUGAAGCAUGAGUAAACUGAUGGGUUUAAAGCAGGUUUUUCCUCUGAAAUAAUGAAUCAGCCCUGAUCCUGGGCACACCUUGCUCUGUAUGUUAUUAAUGCCCUCCUGCUUCAAUACAGGUGAUUCAAUGAUUAGCUUGUUUGGCAGCUGCAGCAGUUACAAUUCUGUUUAUAAAGCUGCUUGCAUGAAGAAUUGUGCAUAAUUUGCCUCCUUGUAUCUGCUCAAUCAGAAAGUCUCCAAAGCAUAAUGUCCUACUGCUAUUGAAGAACCUCAGCUCUGCAUCGUUCAAACAAUUUAUAUGUUGUCAGCAUCUCCAUUCUCUGCUUUGCAGAGCUGCACUGUGGGCUCUCAUCCUGAUGGUGCCAAAUAACAUACAUACACAGCCUAUGUGAUGAGCCGACUGGAGAUGGAAAUUCCCCCUUUGGUUUCUCAAUAGAGAGGCAUAACCAUUUAGGAUUACACCCCCUGGGAGAGCCCACUUAAUACAAGACCAUAUACAAGAAAAAGACUAAACUAUGUGACAAAUUCAUCUAAACUUCUUUGUUAUCUAAUCUUGGUUUCUCCAUUAUUAUAUUUUCUUAACUCAACUUGCUAAAUAUGUAAAACUGCCAUUAUGUUUGAUUGUUUUUUUUCAUGAGUUACUGACUCUGUUACUGGUGCAAACAUCCUUUAAAUCCAAUCAUUUCUUACCAUAAGGUAAAGAAUUUAUAUUUUAUCCAAAUUUUGAUAAUUACUCACAUUAAAACGCCUUUCUUAUUACAUUUUGAAAUUCCAUUAUCUUGCAUUUUAAAACAUUUUUGAUACCAUACCAACAUACCAUAGACUGUACAUAGAAUGGACACAGUCUGCCUCCUCGCUUUGCAUGCCAGUCGAGGACCCGCACUCUUUUACUACGAAGCCACGCUGUUGUAACAUGUGCAGCAUGUGGCUUGGCAUUGUCUUGCUGAAAUAAGCAGGUGCAUCCAUGAAAAAGACGUUGCUUGGAUGGCAGCAUAUGUUGCUCCAAAACCUGUAUGUACCUUUCAGCAUUAAUGUUGCCUUCACAGAUGUGUAAGUUACCCAUGCCUUGGGCACUAAUGCACCCCAAUACCGUCACAGAUGCUGGCUUUUGAAAUUUAACAGUCUGGAUGGUUCUUUUCUUCUUUGGACACAACGUCCACUAUUUCCAAAAACAAUUUAAAAUGUGGACUCGUCAGACCACAGAACACUUUUCCACUUUGCAUCAGUCUAUCUUAGAUGAGCUCGGGCCCAGAGAAGCCGGCGGCAUUUCUGGAUGUUGUUGAAAAAUGGCUUUCGCUUUGCAUAGUAGAGUUUUAACUUGCACUUACGGAUGUAGCGACUAACUGUAUUUACUGACAGUGGUUUUCUGAAGCGUUCCUGAGCCUGUGUAGUGAUAUCCUUUACACAUUGAUGUCGGUUUUUGAUACAGUGCUGCCUGAGGGAUCGAAGGUCAUGGGCAUUCAAUGUUGGUUUCCAGCCGUGCCGCUAACAUGCAGUUAUUUCUCCAGAUUCUCUGAACCUUUUAAUGAUAUUAUGGACCGUAGAUGUUGAAAUCCCUAGAUUCCCAAUUGCACUUUGAGAAAUGUUGUUCUUAAACUGUUCAACUAUUUGCUCAUGCAGUUGUUCACAAAGUGGUGAACCUCGCCCCAUCCUUGCUUGUGAAUGACUGAGAAUUUUUGGGGAAGCUGCUUUUAUAUCCAAUCGUAGCACCCACCUGUUCCCAAUUAGCCUGCUCACCUGUGGGAUGUUCCAAAAAGGUGUUUGAUGAGCAAGAUCAAAUUUCUCAGUACUUUUUAUCACCUUUCCCAACUACUUUGGCACAUGUUGCUGCCAUCAAAUUCUAAAGUUAAUAAUUAUUUGCAAAAAAGUAAAAAAAAAAAAGUUUAUCAGUUUGAACAUUAAAUACCUUGUCUUUGUAGUUAAUUCAAUUGAAUAUGGGUUGAAAAGGAUUUGCAAAUCAUUGUAUUCUGUUUUUAUUUAUGAUUUACACAUCCACCCAACUUCAUUGGAAUUGGGUUUUGUACAUUUUUCUCCCCCCGAUUGCAAUUUUGACAUGUAGUAACUGUAAGACUGGUUUGUGCUUAAGUCUUCUUUUUUCUUGGCAGCUCCAUUUUUAAAAGUUAUUAGGAGGUUUAUGUUUUCUAUGAUUGACACUUGAUACAGCCUAUGAGUGUAAAAAGAUUGCGUAACUCAACCGAGGGAUAUGAGCCGAGCGUCAUCACAGCGACUCUCUGCGACUCUCCCGCCGAAUGCAUACAAUGCUACUGCUCAAGUGGUGCUUCUGGCCCACUUGGUUGCCUUCUUUAUUUCAUACAGGUUCUGUAAAUUAAAGUACUGUUUCCAGCAAACGUAAAUCAUGCAUCGUCACAAAUGUGAAGUCUUUUAAUUCAGAUACAUCCACAGGUCUAUAGUGAGUCCCCUUCUUUAAGUUAGAGCUCUGUUGGUGUUUGCAUUGGACACAAAGGGCUCUAUUUCCAUGCCUCGCCAGAGACAUGGCACAGGCGCGCCGACAAGACAUUCCUAAGCACAAAUUGGUAUUUUGGUAAGCGGCGCAGUCUGGCGUAAGGUACAUCAAGUGGUGUGUGUAAUGUUGGACCCACUGGUAAGACAAACACCCUUUUCCACAAAUAAAGACACUCACGUUAAGUUGCAUAUAUUUAAACCUCACUUGACAAAGGUGGGUUGUGCGCACAGAUCACAACAUAAAUUCCAAAAAUGGCAUUAAAAUCUGAACCAUCUGUGCAUAAAGGUCACAUCGUGCUCCAUGGCCUGGCUCUUUCUUUCAUUGUGACCAACAUCAUCUGCUCCAUGUCAUCAUCCACCUGCAUCCUGGAUCCCAACCCCGUCCUCCCUUAUCAAGCACUGCCUGCCCGUCAUCUCUCCCAUCAUCACACAGAUCAUCAACUCCUCCCUCAACUCCGCCACUGUUCCCCCUUCACUCCAACUGGCCGCUGUCACCCCUAUCCUCAAAAAACCUGGACUCAACCCUGACGACAUCAAUAACUUCCGGCCCAUCUCCAACCUCCCUUUCCUGUCAAAAAUCCUUGAAUGUGUCAUUGCAUCACAAAUCAAAGCCCACCUCAACAAUAGCAAUCUUUACGAACAGUUUCAAUCAGGAUUCCACACCCACCACAGCACUGAAACUGCCCUUAUCAAAGUCACCAACAACCUCCUCAUUUCUGCUGACUUCGGCCAACUCUCCAUCCUCAUCCUCCUUGACCUCUCUGCCGCUUUUGACACCAUCAACCACGCCAACCUCCUGUCCCGCCUACACUCCCUCCUCAAUAUCACAGACAUCGCUCUCAACUGGAUCCACUCAUAUCUCACAGACCGUAAUCACUUCAUCCACAUUAACAACUGCUCCUCUAUAACUGCCCCCGUGUCCCAAGGUGUCCCCCAGGGUUUGGUGCUUGGUCCCCUCCUCUUCAUCAUUUACCUCCUCCCUCUUGGCCACAUCCUCCGUCAACACAAUCUCCACUUCCACUGCUAUGCUGAUGACAUUCAUUUGUACAUCUCUUCCACCUCCAUCACCCCCCAGACCCAACGCUCCCUCUCAAACUCCCUCUCAAACUGCCUCUCUGAUGUCAAACACUGGAUGGACAGCAACCUUCUCAAGCUCAACUACGACAAAACAGAUCUCCUCAUCAUCGGCCUGAACUCCCUUACCUCCACAGCCACAGACUUUCAUCUCUCCAUUGACAACGCCACCCUCUCCCCCUCCCCCCACUGUCGCAACCUUGGUAUUCUCUUUGACAGCAACCUCUCCUUCACCCAGCACAUCAAGCAAAUCACCAAAACAGCCUACUACCACCUCAAAAACAUUGCCCACCUCCGCCCUUCCCUCUCCUACUCUGCAGCUGAAACCCUCAUACAUGCAUUCAUUUCAUCCCAUCGAGAUUAUUGUAACAGUCUCCUCUAUGGCACUACCUUCACUCUCCUCAAUAAACCUCAAUAACCACAUCACCCCCAUCUCCAGAACCUUCACUGGCUCCCCAUCCCCCAUCGCAUUCAGUACAAAAUCCUCCUUCUCACCCACAAAGCACUCAACAACAAGGCCCCCCCCACCUGCAAGAUCUUCUCCAGCUGCGCUCCGCCAGCUGCGCUCCGCCUGCGCUGAAAGCUGACCAGGUUUGAAUCGGCGAGCUUUCAGCGCACUUUACACGCCUACAGCGAGCACGAAAAUGUCACUGCGCCAACUGAUUCUGUCGACACCAUCCCAUGCCGCCCACCACGCCCAGCUUGGCGGACCUAGGUGCGCCUCAGUCCACGAAAAUACCAAACUGGCUGUAUGCCAGGCUUCGUCAGACGAAAAUACCACUGUGCGGGGUCUGCCACCCUCUGCCGCAUCAACACAAAAAUAGAGCCCAAAGUUAAAUUUUGAUUUUGACCUAUCAAUUGAGCAGUCUGGGAGCUACUGUAAGCAAUAAGAAAUAAACUCAUUAAUUUCAGUUUAAUCCCAAUUAAUAUGUUAAGGCUGACAGUCCAAGAAGAGAAACCAUGGAAAAAAAGGAAACAGAAAUACAUCGCUCUGAUUCUUUAAUUAUUGUAAUUUUUAGUUGUGCCUUUUCCUGUCAGAGUUGGAUUUAAUCUUUUUGAAAGAAGUGAACAGGAGAGUAGAUGGGCAGGUUUUUAUCAAGGGCAUUUGGGAACGAUUGUCUUGUCAGCUUUUAUCUCAGUUAUAAAGUCAAUACAGAGCUUUAGAGACACAGAGCACACUUAUAAACCUUAGUGUAAAGCCUUUGCUUUGCAGUAGAACAACAAAGCAGAAACUCAAAGCUUUGUAUAGUAAGAAAGACACUGGAAGUGCCAGGAACACAAAGAUAUACUGUGUUUUGUUGUUUCUUUUUUUUUUCCUCUCCCUCCUCAGGAGAUGGUGCCAGUUUCAUUUGGAAUUAUAAUUAGGCAUACUGUUUUGAUGACGGUUUAAUCAAGCUGACUUGAUUAGAACUUUCUUCCUUACAGCGCAGAGUCUGUUAACUGGCGGCACAAGGUUAAAAAACAAUACUCUACUUUGUGCUAUGCAAUGCACGGGGCAAAUCCCUUUGUUAUGUUACACCUGAUAAGGCUGGAUUUAAUUAUUGUGUGUAUUUCAUGGCUAAUGCACAACUUUGCUCUUCUGACUACAAAUGUGGCAGCUGGUAAUAUGUAAACAACCAGCAAUUACGUUUUUUUUUCUUCGUAAAUUUUUAGGAAUCGCAGUUUGUUGGGAGUCAGCUGUCUUACUCUGUCCUCUAACCUUCAGCAGCAAAGCAUCGUAGGUUACAAUAAGCUGCCAGGCUUCUGUCCAUCCCACUGUAGUGUAGAUAGAGAGGUAUUAUUUAUUAAUAGUCAGUCUCCCCAAAGCUCUGUAAAACAUCCUGUUGAGCUCCCGGAGGUGAGCGCUCGGCUUCAAAGCAAUUAAAACGAGGCUACGAGAGAGGAAAGAGAGCACGGGUGGAACGGAUAAAGAGAUAGAAAAAGAAGGAAGAGAGCGAGAGCUGGCCAUCCACAAGGCCAUUGGGUUUGGCUGGCUGCACAGUCAAACACUGUACAUUUAGCUUUAAUGCCUGGGAGGACAGGGGCCCGGAGCGGAAUCACUUCUCUAUGUCAGGGAUCCCUUGUCUGAGUUUAAAGCCUCGGUGAGCCUUGGGACCGGCCAGAACCCCACUUUGGGAUUAUAUAAGCAUAAUAAGUGAACGUAGUGAUCCUUUUCCUCUCUGUUCCUCUGAGUUAUGCUAAAAAGCCGAAAAGCUAAAGAAAGAAGUCAAAGUCUUUGUCAAAUAACUGCAGACUUUUCUAUCUUCCCGACCCUAUUCUCUUUGAAUUCCAUACAAGCACACAGGCGACAGACAAUGAGAUCACAGAAUUUACAGACUGUCCAGUUAACAUUCAUUAUACAGUUAACAGUGAGAAAAAUAAUACUGUAAAGUAGUGUUAUGUAGUUCAUUAACAUUUCAUUCAAAGGAGCGGAACUGCUGAGUGAAUGAUGUGAACUGAAUCACUCCGAGACCUGAUUCGUUCCUUUCUCAGUUCAGUUGAACUCAGCCAAGACCCUGGCAUGCCAGCAAGCGAGUGAGCAGGCGGGCUCGGUGAUUUGCUCACAGCGAAUGAAUGACAUGUAUCAGUCAGUCUGUGAAUAAAACGUCUGUGAACGACAUGUAUCAGUAAGUGAACGACAUGUUUCAGUCAGUCAGUGAAUGAAAUGUUUCAGUCAGUAAGUGAACGACAUAUUUCAGUCAGUGAACAAAAUGUUUCAGUCAGUAAGUGAAGGACAUGUUUCAGUCAGUGAACAAAAUGUUUCAGUCAGUCAGUGAACGACAUGGUGAACGAAACAAACGACUUCUGAAUGACAGGCAGAGAAGGGAGGGUUGUGGCAUCGUUCACUUACCGCUGAGCACCGGUUCGUUCACUGAGGCUUAGAUAAAACAGUGUAUUAUAGUGCCUUUACAUUAAUACACAGGUAUAAACUUUCCUGCAAGAAGGAUUUAAUUUCAGCCAGUUUAAAGCAAUACGCUAUCUGAUCUCCACAGCCUCUCUCUGCUCAUGCUCACUAUGUCCCUUGGCUUUUCAGACACACACUGAUCCACCCACCUGCCUCCUCCUGCUCCUGCUCCUCACCUGUAGGUGAUACAGGAGGAUGCACUUCAUUCAGUGUAAAGGAUGAUAAUGGGGGCCACAAAACAGGUAGUACAAUAUCAUCCAGUCUGUCUUGAUAAUCAUAUUUCCAUGCUCACGGAGACCAUAAUCAUGAUUGGAAUACAAUCCAAGCUCUUACAGACAGAGAGACAUGCCUGCAUUUAGGUUUACUUUAAAUACUACAGUCUCCUUUACUGUAAUGCGAAAGUUAAGCAACUAUAGGGAGCACUUUAAAUACCUGAACUCCCAUCAUACACACUACCUGGAGUUUAAAGUGCAACAGUGAUUAACAACAGCUGACCAACACACACUACACAGCUGCACAAAAACAAACAUGCUAACCUGCUUCCCGUGCACAUUCAAAAAGAUUAAAACCAAUGUAUCUUUGUCUGAGUUCUGUCUCUGCGUUUACUUUAUUGCAAUCAAAAUGUCGAGGCUGCAUGAACUCAAACACACAUGCUUCACAUGGCCUCAUAAAAAUUUACAAAAUCACCAAGAAGGCAUUUUAUCAUUUAAAAAACAGCCCGAGUGCGACAAUGCCCUCCUUUCUGGUCUCCCCAAAAAGAACAUUUCACACCUGCAAUUAUUACAAAAUUCAGCUGCACUGAUGUUAACAAGGACCAGAAAGAGAAAUCACAUUACACUGAUUUUAAGUUCUCUGCAUUGGCUACCCGUCUCUUUUAGAAUAGAUUUUAAGGUUGCUUUAUUGGUUUUUAAAGCUCUUAAUGGCUUUGGCCCUUCUUAUCUAUCUGAUCUUCUUUUACCUUAUGAGCCAGCUCGAGCCCUCAGGUCUUCAGGAAGUUCUCUGUUAACAAUACCUAAAGUUAAAACUAAAACAUACGGGGAGGCAUCUUUUUAUUACUAUGGCCCCCGUCUAUGGAACAGCUUACCCGAAGACCUGAGGACUGCACCUAAUCUUAAUGAUUUUAAAAGCAAACUGAAACCAUACCUUUUUAGUCUUGCUUUUAACUAAAUUUUAUAUCAUUAAUUCUGUUUAAGUGUUUUAGCAUUUAUCUCUUUCUAGUUUUAAUCACAGGAUCAUCUUUUAUUGAGCUAUUUUGGUGCUCUUAUUUUAGUAUCUUUUACUCUUGUUUUCAUUUAUUAUUUCUUAAAUUUCAUUCUUUGUUCCUUUGUUUUUAGAUUUUAACCUAAACCUCCUGUGUUUCCUUAACUUGAGUUUUAAAAUGACGUUUCCUCAGUGCACACAUUCCUGUUUCCCAAAAUCAAGCCCUUUUAAGUUUAUGCAUUUUAAUACUGUUUCUGUUGCAAUUAGAUCUGGGGUAGGACUUAGUGGUUGGGCUGGAGUUGAUUUGGGUAUUCUUUUAAUCUUGGUUUGGGGUAAAUUUGGGUAUUCUUUGUUUCUUUAUUCCUUUUUCUGUGUAUAGCACUUUGUGCUACAUGUUAUGUAUGACAAGUGCUAUAUAAAUAAAGAUUGAUUGAUUGAUUGAUUGAAAGACUUAAAAAAGAAUAUAUGAGAAAUACGUCUUUUCCAUGGGAAAAAACAGGUGUACUUGAAGAAAAUCGCUGCUUUUGUGGAGGCAGAAAUGAAUAUGCUUAGGAUAAAUCCAUCAAUGCAGCCGUAAAUAGCUGUGAAUGACAUUGUGCUUUAGUUUAUGAUAUGAAUCCAUAUGCUAUAAUAAGGUGUUGGUGUCUCUGCAGGUGUAGGUUACCGCCGGUGUCAGAGACGUGGUGCUCAUCAGAGCGCGACUCCAUCUGGAUCACAAAUGUUGAUCAUCAGUUGGAUUGUUUCUUAAUAAACCACAAAAACUCUCUGAAUGACCCGCUAAUACAUCCACCGAUAACCCUGCAGUUGACCGGUUCCAGUCAUUUCCCCCUCCAUAUAAGCAGCUUUAUGACUUUAUUUACUUUAUGACUUUAUUCUCCCAAGUUUACAACUUUAAUCUCUAAAUCUUAAAAGAAAAGAAAAAAAACUCAAUGUUGUCCUGAUACUCUGAUGUAGUUUUGGCAGCUUUCUUAUUUCUAAUGUUUUUGAUUGUUUUAGCAGAGCGGAUCAGUUCUUUUCUAAAGACUAUAAUGUUUGGUUUGCAGCUGCAGAUUUUAGUGAGUUCAGAGAUCAUGCGCUCAUACGGUCUAAGCUGACUGUCUGCUGUUUUUGGAUUUCUUUUAUUUUCUUUGAAGAGGCGCUGCGUCUCCAAGUGAGUCCAGCCUCUCACCCGAAAUGUGCAGCUGUGCAGCGGCACGCAAAGAAUUCUGGGAUACCAACUGCACGAAAGCGUGCAUAAAUGCACGCUUGAAAAAGAAGCGGGGGUAGUGUGGUUUUGAGACCAAAUUGAAGCGCGCUUAGCAUUUCGUGCCAAAUGGGACACCGUUCGCGCCGCGUGAUGAGCUCACGCACGCUGCAAAUGCGCGGUUCGACGGUGCAGUCUCUUAAAUAAGACAGGGCCAUAGACUUGCAGAAGUCGAUAAUUCAGAUACGAAAAAUUUGAAAUUCUUGUGAAACAAUGUAUUUUUCUGAUCAUUCUAAUAUCCAGAUAUCCACCGACUCAACUGGGAGCCAAGAGAAGAAUUAUUGGCUAUUUUCUCCAGUGGCUAAAUUGUCUCAGGUCACAGCUGAAAGGUUUGAAUGGCUGGCCUAAAGGGAUCAAUGACCAUGAACUCCUUGAUAAAUACCCCCCCACCCCACCCCUUCUAAAGUUCACUCUUACAUGCAGGAGCAGUCACAACCUUUACACAAUACCCAGAGCCAUUCUAUUUUCAAAGCAUAAACCUCAUAAAACAGCCUGAAGCAAGGUUAGGCCAAUAACCAUCAGCUAGUGCUGUUAGGUAUCAUAAAGGCAGCUUAAGUGGUCUUUAAUAAAGCUAGACUUUACAUGCCUCGCAGGCAUUUUCACAUAAAAGCCUAAAAGGUUUUGGCGAGUCAUUCCCCCUUAUGGGCCUGUAAAAUCAUUGCAUCCUCCUCUGACCACAUCAACAAUAAGAGCAUCUUCAGCAGGGACUUCUUCUGCUUCCAAGAGCCUCAUAACCCCUGCAUAAUUGAACUGGGAUGAUACUGUGUCCCGGCGUACCCUGUUACCCGUUCAUUUUAUCCUCAGUUUGACGCUCACUGUUGAUGAUUGUAUUUGUCAUGAACUUGAUCUGAUCAGAUUCUAAUAAUGGGAUAGAGAAAGGAUCCAUGAAUAACUUAUGAGUGCUCACUCUUUUAAAUUGAAGCAUUAUGAUACGUUUAUUAGUUCCGCUCCUCUGCUGUUCUUUCCAGAUUUUCAAGGUGGAUUAUGCAACUAAACUGGCUGACACAAAGCGCCUAUUCUGGGUGUCUCCUUGGAGGCGAGAGUGCAAGAGAAUUGAUAAUCACCUUUGCACAAGAGAUUUUGAAAAAG